GGGGGCACAACCAGUAUGAGAUUGAAAAUAUCAUUAAAUGUCAAGAUUAAACUGUCCACUCAGAUAAUCAAAUUUCAAAUUCCUGUCUUUGAAAGAUUAUUUUUCCCUCUCCUAACGUUUGGGAGUGGAUAGGCAAUAUAAACUCGGCGAAGACUGUUACUUUUCACUGUACCUUUCGAACAUUUCACUGUACCUUUCGAACACUUUCUGGUAUUUCUUCAUUCUUUUUUUCUUGUGAUAAUGGACAAACCUAUCAGGAUAAAGAUUGGUUUUAAUAAAAACAUUACGGUAAAACAAAGCGGCGAGUACAUCAAUGUUUAUAUAAAUGAUAAUGUCUUUGAAGAUGGAAAACCGGUAAAGGAGAAAUCUCGAUCUGUGUGGCUUAAAUGGAACGAAACUGUUGGGCUGAGGGAUGCUAUUAACACUAUAGAAGAACAACUGUUAUGCAAUGAGGUCCCAGCAAUGUCGGAAAGGGUAGUUUCGUGUUCCAACUGUUAAAACAUGCUGAUGGAGCUUUUACAAAACCGAUAAAAGCCAUCUAUUAUUGCUAUAGCGUGGAUCAACCUCUAUACGCUGAAAUGAAAAAAACUAUACCCUACAUAACAUUUUAUGAGGGUCUUCCCACAAAGACUGAACUCGAAACCUGGCAUAUGAAUGAAUCGAAAGAAAAAAUCUUGGUGAUCGAUGAUAUGAUGACUGAAAGCGCCAAAAAUAAAGAUAUAGUUGAUAUCUUUUGCAAAUAUGCUCAUCAUCUCAAAUUCUUUUGCUUUCUCAUUUGUCAAAAUGCGUUUUGUCCCGGGCGCGAAUUCCGCACAAUCGGUUUAAACACACACUACUUCUUUCUGUUUAAAAACAACAGGGAUGAAUUACACAUACAAACUUUAGGUCGUCAAAUCUUUCCCGGUCAAGUAAAGUACUUCAUGGAUGCGUAUAACAAAGCUACUGCAGAGAAAUAUAAAUACCUUCUGGUUGAUCUGUCUCCACAUUCAGAUUCUAAAUAUAAACUUCGCACAAACAUCUUACCUGGUCAGUUAAUGACAGUUUACCAACCUAUAAGGCAGUAUGAAUCAGUUAAUUAAAAAAGAAAGGGACUUUUUACGUCUGCUUCUCAAUACAUCUAACAAACAGAAGAAUGUUUUAUUACAAAACAUAGAGAAGCAACAGAUAAGCGCUAUUGCGCAAAUUGUGUAUAAUGUCAUGCUCGGUAAUCGCCCAAUGGUUGAAAAAGACAAAAAACAAAUAUCAAAACAAAAAGUUAUCAUUCGACAAUUUGUGCGCAAAGGACUUCCACUGAAAAAGAGAAAACAAUUGCUGCUGAAAUAUCUUAAAUAUGUUUUACCUUUCAUCGCUGCAAUCAAAAACAUUUGUUCAAACUUAUGGAAGAUUCUAAACAAAAUGAGCAAACUGGUGGACAAACGGAGAACAGAGACGAAAACUCACUGACAACUGAUCUUAAGUCGGAAAAAAAAAUGAUACAAAUGAGAAGGAAAUGAUUAGUAGCAGCCAAAAUGAACAUGAAAAAAGUACAGAAGUAGUAGAGAAACCUAGACUAUAUGUGGAUAAACCGCUAUCAAAAAUGCCUUUCGACAGAAUAAAGGCAAAAACACAUUUUAAAAGUAAACAGAAAAAAGGCGCCAAAACAAAUUUCAAUGGAAAAAAGCUGACAAGGUCAAAUGGAAAGAAAGAAGGCACCAAAUCACGAUGGAUUAACUACACCAUAUAAAGACCAUGGAAGACGUGAGACACCACAAAAAUAUUGAUUUGGUGCAUACAAAAAAUAGAUUUCAAAAAGUGACUGCCAAACCCACCUACAAAAAUACUACAAUCUUUAAUGAAGACCUGGUUGCGGUGGAAUUAUACAAGGCAAAAGUCAACUUAUUCAAGCCCAUCUAUUGCGGCAUGUGUAUAUUAGAUCUGAGCAAAUGUCUGAUGUACGACUUUUGGUACAAUUAUAUCAAAACGAAAUACCAAAACAGUGCAUGAUGGACACUGAUUCUGCGCUCUUUUCUUGCAAUACAGACGAUUUAUACCAAGACAUGAAGACUUCGGUAGACUAUUUUGACACCUCAGACUAUCCAAAAGAACAUUUCCUUCAAAGUGAUCUGAAUAAAAAUGUGCUUGGAAAAAUGAAGGACGAAACCAAUGGAAAACCCAUUUAAGAAUUUGUAGGACUCAGAUCUAAAAUGUAUAGCUUUUUGUGUGACGAGAAAGAAGAGAAAAGAGCAAAAGGCAUUGCUAAAGCGACAGUGAAAAAGGAGUUAAAGCAUGACAAUUACAAGAACACUCUAUUUAAUGAAACUAGCACGGUCUCAUCCAUGAAUUCCCUUAGAAGUCAUGGACACGAAUUAUUCGGCGAACUGAAACAGAAAAGGAGCCUCUCUGCUUUUGAUGACAAAAGAUACCUCAUUGAUGCAGUGAGCAGUUACGCUUAUGGGCAUUACAAAAUCGCUGGAAAUGGAAAUAGUGACAAUGAACAUUUCAGUGUAACUAAAGAAAGUGCUCAGCCAACUUUUACAAUCAUUCCUGUAGAGAACUCUUUAACAGUGUGCCAUGGUAAUUGGCAAUCACUGGAUGAGCAAGUGUUCACGAUCAGUGACUUUAAGAUUACACCUUGCAUAAAAAUGUAAAGCUCUGAUAUGUCUUUUAUACUAUACGCUCUAUGUAUUUUAUGUUUA